rnacentral:rRNA from 1 species
GAUGAACGCUGGCGGCGUGCCUAACACAUGCAAGUCGAACGGAAAGACAGUGAGUUUGUGCGCUUACCGGUUGCGGAUGGCGGGCGUGUGACGUGUGUAUCCUGAUCUUGUUUUUCGGGGAGCAUAACGAAACUGGGGUUACUAUAAGAUAGGAUAUCACGUACCGGUGAGGGCAUUGGAUAGUCUCGGCUUUCGCGGUUGAAUUAGCGGCUGAGGGAGUAGCUGGUUGGGGGGGUAAAGGCCCAGCAAGGGAACGGUGCGUAGCCGGUCUGAGAGGAUGAUCGGCCACACUGGAACUGAGACACGGUCCAGACUCCUACGGGAGGCAGCAGUGGGGAAUAUUGGACAAUGGGCGCAAGCCUGAUGCAGCAAUACCGCGUGGGUGAAGAAGGCCUUCGGGUUGUAAAGCCCUUUUGUUGGGAAAGAACAGCAGCAGGUUAAUACCCCGAUGUUCUGACGGUACCCAAAGAAUAAGCACCGGCUAACUUCGUG